GGGGUUGUGGCUCAGCGGUAGAGCACUUGCCUAGCAAGUGCAAGGCCCUGGGUUUGAUCCUCAGCACCA
rnacentral:tRNA from 1 species